rnacentral:rRNA from 1 species
CCCUAUGGGGCGCAGUAGGCCAUCGAUACCGCAUCUGAAGGCGAUCAGAUCGUUAUUUCGGAGGGUAUUUAUGCUGAAAAUAUCACCAUUCCGAAUAGGUCAAUCACUUUACAGGGAUUGAAUCCAAACAACUGGCAAAUGGUUGAGGAUACGGUGAUCCAAUCUGCUGAUCCCAAUUAUCCAGCAUUGUUGAUACUUGCCGCGGCAGAUAAGUCGAUUCGUAUUUCUGGGCUUGCAAUUGUGCAGGGAUAUACAGGUGUUUCAAUUUACAAUGGAGCAGCAUCCAUCUUUGAGAAUUGUGUGAUAAAGGACAAUUACUGUCAUGGUAUUGAAAGCUUUUACGGGUCGCCUGUUUUUCGAUCUUGUCAAAUUGUCGAUAAUGCAGGAAUUGGCGGGAGGGC